rnacentral:lncRNA from 1 species
CCUGCACCCCGAAUAUGACUCUGGAUAUAGAAUGAUGUCAAAUCCAAUAUCAUACUCAUAUUUCUCUCAAUCUUAUAUGAUGAUUCAAUUAAUAAAAUAUUAAAAAAAUUUAAUUUAUAUUUUGCUUUGAUCAAAGGCUUCCUGAAUCAUCAAUCGAUCAGAACAAGUAGGAUGCGAUUUUCUCUUACCAAGAUUGAUCGAUUCCAUGUUUACCUACUCACAAUCACCAUAC